AUAAUUGUUUGUUUAGUUUUUAAAUAAUUAUAGGUUAAAUUUUAAUUAUUUUAUGUGUAUAAUUAUAAUUUUAAAUUUUGAAAAUCGAAUUAGAUUAGUACCUAAUUAGUCAAAAGUUAAAAGAGCAGAAGUAAAGUAAAAUUUAAACUGAAAGAAUAUUGGCAGAUUUUCUAAAUUAUCUUUGGAGGUUGAGUAAUAAUUGAGAACCCUCAUUAACUACUUUUUUAGUGGUCUCAUGUAUGAUCGUUUAUUAUAUGCUUAAGGUAUAUAAUUAAAAAUUAUUUAUUUAUAAAAAUAGAUAUAUAUUUGGUUUAUAUAAAAGUAAUAUUUGACCUACAAUAAUUUGUAAUUGUGGAUCUACUUUUUUGUGAAGUAGUGAAAAUGUAAAAGACAGUAAAAAAAUUUUUAUGGUUUUUUGAAGAUUAUUUAGAAGU
rnacentral:rRNA from 1 species